CUUGUGUUGGAGGUGUGAGGGGUCUGCAGAGAUGUUACCAGCUCGCUUUCUGGUCCUGGACUGGUAUAAUUACUGGAUGGAGAGCAGGCUGGCUCAGAUGAUUUUUUUUUUCUGUAGACCUGACAGUUGGUUGAAGUCUGUGCCUGUCAU